AAUAAAAAGCAGAAAUGUGAAAUAAAAUCAAAGCAAACCAAUCCAUCUGGAACAAAAUGCUGCGACCAUUUGGUUCUUGGGCAGCGCUUCAGGCUGCAGCUAGUAAUCCCAGACUCACUGUCCCACAGAGAGCGUGACAUGAGUGGGUAUUGCAUGGGUUGAGCUGCCCUUUCAUAUCUUAAAUCCUGGCCAGCUUAACCUUCUAAACUGCCUCUGUGGUAGUAUCACAGCUUAAAAUACAUCUUUCCUGGUUCCUUAUGUGUGUUAGUCUGAGAGUUACUCUGGAGGGUCAUGGAAGGCAGGAAGUUAGGUACUGCUAUUUUUUUCCAUGUGUAUGUAAAGCUUUAUAGACUAAACUAGCAGGGUCAACAAUAGGCGAAAUUAAAACAGUUCUAAAAAUGAACUAGACAAGAGGAAACAAUUACAGGGCUGUUAUUUGGAGGAAACAAGCACUGGGUGGUUCGGUUGCUAACACAAUGAAGGAGACAGCCCACGAUGGUGCUUCUAAACCCUUCCUGGUCUGGUAUUCCCAAACUACCCAGCGUUGUUUACUUGCCUGGAACAACGCCACAGACACAUCCUGAUAGGUCAGGAAUGAUCCUCAGGGGUUUCUAUGAGAAAUAGGAAAUGGGCAGAGAGGGCAGCAGUAAGUGACGUCUGCUCGUUUGAGGAGCUGUGCAGUGAGGACUGUUGUGUCCCUCAAUUGUCUGUGGCAAUGCCUUUGGUCAAAAAAUAACUCCAGGAGGUGUCAUGGGCUGGAGAAAGCAUCGUGAGAUAGUGUUCACAAUUGCUUGGGUCUACCUUGAAGAUGUCAGUGCAUUUGGUGGUCCCUGCUGUCAUACCUCCACCGCCAAAUCAUUAGCAUGACAAUAAUUAAUGAAAAAUUAACCACAACCUUAAGCCAACUGCACUGACCAGGAACUCAGAGGAUCUGCUCUGGCUUUUGUGCUGACACAGCCCCACAGCGUACCCUUGGAUGUCUCAGCUUCCUGUCUAUGACUAGCAUUGCUUCCUCUCUCCUUAUGCUUUGAAUGCUGCAUUUCAACUGCAAAUGUUUUGCAGCAGGGACUGUCUCACACUGGUAGCUGUGCUGCACAGUGACUGGAAAUGCCAGAUUUCAGGCUACUGUGACAGUAAUGAAGAAUAGCUCCUACGUCCCUCUACCUCACUGCUAGUUAAUGCAUCUGUCUAUCAAACUAUGCAUCAGUGCAAUAAUUGCUGUUUGAUAUUUAGUUACAGGCAUUAGCCAGGCUUUCUCAUGUCUAAUUAAAGCUCAGUGAUUUUUUUUAAGUGUUCUUCCUUUGCUGAAGAAACAGAAAUGUCAGAAAUGGAAAGCACCAAGAGCUCAAUGGAUAUAUUAUGCCAAUACCCAUUGAUCAAGCAAAACAGAGAAAAGGAGACUUUCUCUGUGGUGUCAUUUUGUCUGCCUUCUGCAAAUUUUCUGCAAACAUUUUAAUUGCAGCCAUGAGAGACUGAAAAAUCCUGCCUGAUAAGCAUGUAUUUGUGCUUUAAAAAUACAGCUGAAAACAUUCUGCUAGCAAGCCUACACAAAAGCUCGUUAAAUUAAACGCCAGGAAUUAUCUCUGAAGGUUCUACAAGUGUCUCUUAUGGACACAGAAAUGCAGUUAUGGUGCCAUGUUCAGGCUGGCUGUCCCACUAUUACUGACUCUACAGGCAGCUGAAAUCCCUCUACUGAAGUGAAAGGAAUCAAGAUCCUACCAAUACUGAAAGGAAUCAGAAGUUUUUAAAAGACGGUAAAGGAUUGUUUCCACCCAGCUCAUGUUCAGUACGAGGAACCUACAUUUAUUUCCUGCGGGCAAGUA